rnacentral:ncRNA from 1 species
GCAAUCCGACAGGGGAGCGCACAGCGCUGAGAGUGCGGUUCGUCCGCAGACCCUCGUACCUGAUCUGGGUAAUGCCAGCGCAGGAAGUUCGGUCUUCUCCAGCC